rnacentral:rRNA from 1 species
GUGAAGAGGGAUGAGCUCAAAUUUUGAAUCUGGCGGUCUUUCGGCCGUCCGAGUUGUAAUCUAGAGAAGCGUUUUCCGCGCUGGCCCGUGUACAAGUCUCCUGGAAAGGAGCRUCCUAGAGGGUGAGAAUCCCGUCUCUGACACGGACCACCAGUGCUAUGUGAUGCGCUCUCGACGAGUCGAGUUGUUUGGGAAUGCAGCUCAAAACGGGUGGUAAAUUCCAUCUAAAGCUAAAUAUAGGCGAGAGACCGAUAGCGAACAAGUACCGUGAGGGAAAGAUGAAAAGAACUUUGGAAAGAGAGUUAAACCGUACGUGAAAUUGCUGAAAGGGAAACGCUUGAUGUCAGUCGCGUCGCCCGGGGAUCAACCUUGCUUCAUCGCUCGGUGCACUUCCUGGUCGACGGGUCAGCAUCGGUUUCGGUCGCCGUACAAGGGCGAGGGGAACGUGGCACUCUUCGGAGUGUGUUAUAGCCCUUCGUCGCAUGCGGUGGUCGGGACCGAGGAACUCAGCACGGCCUUACCGUCGGUGCUUAGGAUGCUGGCAUAAUGGCCUUAAGCGACCCG